UGGAAGUUGAAAACGACCUAAGUGCU
rnacentral:piRNA from 1 species